rnacentral:rRNA from 1 species
UACGUAGGGGGCAAGCGUUGUCCGGAUUUAUUGGGCGUAAAGAGCGUGUAGGCGGCCAGACAGGUCCGUUGUGAAAACUCGAGGCUCAACCUCGAGACGUCGAUGGAAACCGUCUGGCUAGAGUCCGGAAGAGGAGUGUGGAAUUCCUGGUGUAGCGGUGAAAUGCGCAGAUAUCAGGAAGAACGCCUAUGGCGAAGGCAGCACUCUGGGACGGUACUGACGCUGAGACGCGAAAGCGUGGGGAGCGAACAGG